AUAUUGGUCAAUGGGCGAGAGCCUGAACCAGCCAAGUAGCGUGCAGGAUGACGGCCCUAUGGGUUGUAAACUGCUUUUAUAAGGGAAUAAAGUUAGUCUCGUGAGACUUUUUGCAUGUACCUUAUGAAUAAGGACCGGCUAAUUCCGUGCCAGCAGCCGCGGUAAUACGGAAGGUCCGGGCGUUAUCCGGAUUUAUUGGGUUUAAAGGGAGCGUAGGCCGGAGAUUAAGCGUGUUGUGAAAUGUAGACGCUCAACGUCUGCACUGCAGCGCGAACUGGUUUCCUUGAGUACGCACAAAGUGGGCGGAAUUCGUGGUGUAGCGGUGAAAUGCUUAGAUAUCACGAAGAACUCCGAUUGCGAAGGCAGCUCACUGGAGCGCAACUGACGCUGAAGCUCGAAAGUGCGGGUAUCGAACAGGAUUAGAUACCCUGGUAGUCCGCACGGUAAACGAUGGAUGCCCGCUGUUGGUCUGAACAGGUCAGCGGCCAAGCGAAAGCAUUAAGCAUCCCACCUGGGGAGUACGCCGGCAACGGUGAAACUCAAAGGAAUUGACGGGGGCCCGCACAAGCGGAGGAACAUGUGGUUUAAUUCGAUGAUACGCGAGGAACCUUACCCGGGCUUGAAUUGCAGAGGAAGGAUUUGGAGACAAUGACGCCCUUCGGGGCCUCUGUGAAGGUGCUGCAUGGUUGUCGUCAGCUCGUGCCGUGAGGUGUCGGCUUAAGUGCCAUAACGAGCGCAACCCCUCUCCUUAGUUGCCAUCAGGUCAUGCUGGGCACUCUGGGGACACUGCCACCGUAAGGUGUGAGGAAGGUGGGGAUGACGUCAAAUCAGCACGGCCCUUACGUCCGGGGCUACACACGUGUUACAAUGGCAGGUACAGAGAGACGGUCCCUUGCAAAAUGGAUCAAAUCCUUAAAGCCUGUCUCAGUUCGGACUGGGGUCUGCAACCCGA
rnacentral:rRNA from 1 species